rnacentral:rRNA from 1 species
UACUUGGGGAUAUGCCUUUGCGUGGGGGAGUAACUAUUGGAAACGAUAGCUAAUACCGCAUGAUGUCUACGGACCAAAGGGGGCGUUUUAGCUCUCGCGCAAUGAGUAACCCAAGCGAGAUUAGCUAGUUGGUGAGGUAAAGGCUCACCAAGGCGACGAUCUCUAGCUGUUCUGAGAGGAAGAUCAGCCACACUGGGACUGAGACACGGCCCAGACUCCUACGGGAGGCAGCAGUGGGGAAUUUUGCGCAAUGGGGGAAACCCUGACGCAGCAACGCCGCGUGGAGGAUGAAGUCCUUCG